CAACCCUCAAGCACUGCUUGGUGUUGGGGCACUGCUUCUUACCCAGGAAGCAGGCCCUGAAAUCUAGUGGCGAGCUCGCCAGGACCCCGAGCGCAGUAGUUAAACCCUCGCUCUGGAAGGCCCUGGCGGUGCCCUGCCGUUAAACCCCCAACUUCUGAAA
rnacentral:misc_RNA from 1 species